rnacentral:rRNA from 1 species
UACGGGGGGGGUAAGCGUUGUUCGGAAUUACUGGGCGUAAAGGGCUCGUAGGCGGCCAACUAAGUCAUACGUGAAAUCCCUCAGCUUAACUGGGGAACUGCGUGUGAUACUGGAUGGCUUGGAUUUGGGAGAGGGAUGCGGAAUUCCAGGUGUAGCGGUGAAAUGCGUAGAUAUCUGGAGGAACACCGGUGGCGAAGGCGGCAUCCUGGACCAAUAUUGACGCUGAGGUGCGAAAGCGUGGGGAGCGAACAGG